CAUCCAUUCAUCAGCAGCUUUUCAAUUAAAGCAGGCUGAUGUGUUCCAUUACAGGUGCCCAUACAUCCAUUUUUAUUAUUGAUAAUGAGCAUUACACAGUAUUCGUAGCAGCUGCAAAUGACAGAGUAGGAAUAGGAAUGAGGGGCUCUGCUAGGCACUUUAUGUCCUUCCGAAAUGUCAUCUUACAGCAACACAGCCAGAUGUGUAACAUCAGUGUCCAGUGAGGAAAGUGACGUUUUGAGUAGUUCAACCAAAGUGCCAAUUGAUGCUAGAGGUAGGGACCAAAAACAGGUCUGCCUGAAAUCCCAAACCCAAAAACCCAUUUGCCACUUCCACUUAACACUACUAUGUUGAUAAUGGGAGACAGAGAGAGAUUGUGUGUGUGUGUGUGUGUGUGUGUGUGUGUGUGUGUGUGUGUGUAAGAGAGAGACAGAGACAGAGAAAGAGAGAGAAAAGCUAUAACCUGCUAAAUCCAGCCUUGUAUAUUCAUUCCCUACUUCUUUACCUUAGACGGUUAAUUUUUUUCAGGGCCUCCAGCACAGCAUUCUUCAACACCGUUGUUUCAAAUCACUGAAGCUGGCAGCGUGUGUUUCUUUGCUUAAUCUCCACCCGGUUUAACAAAUUGUUAAUGCACUGUUUUCCUUGAACAUACUUAACGUUUACUUGUAUUCAUCUGAACGUGAAAGGCAGAACUGCAUGAAAAGUGCAAUCUGUCUCCAGCCUAGCGUCUCAGCAAGACCCAACUGCCCAAAAUAGAGGAAGGUUGAACCAGCCUGGCUAGGCUAUAUCAUAUUGUUACGGGCACUCAGUGGACAGCAAGGCCAGGACUGCUUGAAGAGAGUCCCAGAUCCUUCUUUUGGGCUUUUCUUCCCAGCAGGUUGAUAUUCUGAGAAGCAGCCAUGGCUGGCUCUAUGUGAUUCUACUUACUAAUACACUGGAAAAAAAAAAAUUUCUGUGAUGCCUACUUGGACGUUUCUCUUGUACUAGUGUGAACUUGUCAGGUGGACAGGCUAGGUCACAUUUCUAUAUUUCCUUUAAGUAAAAUGAAAUUGUAUCCGUGCCCCUAAGGCACAUGAUGGGUAAUUUGGGGCUUUCCUUGUGACCCCUUCCAUUGCGAUUUCAUGCAACAUCAAUGGCCUUUACCCAAGUAAAUCUCUCAGAGAGCUCCUGCAAGUCUUCAAGCUUUUAACAAUAAAACUUUGUAAUUGGAUCUAUUUUAGACAAGGCCCUUUGAUGGUAAGGAAUAGAAUCUUUCUAAAAAUAGCUCAGUAAAAUAUGGGAUUAUUAUAAGGAAACAGAGUGUCUUAAAUAUCCAGAGACUGAAAGUGAAGUCCAGCGAGCUUUGUAGAAUUUGGUUUGGAAGUAGGAAAAGCAGAAAAGGGCAUCCUCAAAGACUCUCUCUCUCUCAACAUCUCCUAUCAUGGUCUUUUGUGUCCGUCUACCCCUGCUCUCCUGCCUGGUUUCCCUUUCUGCUCACUUCUUUCAGCUUACCCACCGUCUGUGUUCCUUGGUCAUUCUAGCAUGUGUGGGGCUGGGUCCUGCUUUGGACUGAACUGCAUAAUCUUCCACUUCGAGCUUCCGUAGAGCUCACCCAAGAUUGCCCACCUCACCUGGUGGGAGCUCCCAGACCCCAUUCUCAGAGCUCCCCCUCUGCAGAAUGAAUUGCCAUUGAAUCAGUGGUAGGUCCCGGUUGGCCAGUUGGGUGGGGUUGGAAGAAAUGGACAAACUCACAGGAAAACAAGGGCUCUUGAUGAAGCACAGCUUCUCCCAGGAGAGCACGGUGGGGAGCUUGGUUUUGUGGCCAAAACUCUGCCUCGGGCCACUGCUGCCAAAUAGAAAAGUAGAGGCAGAAUUUGGGGCAAAAAAGAAAUGAGUAGCUUUUAUUAUUUCUCCAGGCAAAGGAGUCCAUGGCAGGCUAAAGCCGUAAAGACGGUGCCCUGCUUUGGGAGAGAAGAGGAAGGAGUCUUAUAGUUUGAGAAAGAUCACAGAGAGAUUGUUCUGUGUAUCCCUAGAACCAGGAUCCUGCCCCAAGGUGUACUGGUUUUCCUUGACAGCUCCUCCCUUGUCUCUGCAUCCCCUCCCUUCCCUGAUUAGCAGCUGCCUGAACCUGCCCCUGGGAACACAGGGAUUCCCGUCAUGGAGGCCAAAUGAGGCCCUUGUCCUAAAAACAAGAAAUGGGGGUCACAGAAUGGCUUUUGUGCCCCCAGAGCCCCACAGGGCCCUGCUUGGUUUCAGUUUCUUGUUUUAAAUUCUGGUGUGUGGGAUAAGUAGAGUCAUGAAGAUGAAAUGCAUGCAGGUCAGCGAAAAGUGUUAUCAAGUCAUUAAAGCAGAAGAAGGACUUAACAAGAAGGCCUUUCCAUAUCCAUGUACUCCACCCUUUUUUAAUUACAUGCUUCUUCAAAAGAUCCUCCCUGUCGGAGUUCCCGUCAUGGCUCAGCGGUUAACAAAUCUGACUAGGAAUCAUGAGGUUGCGGGUUUGAUCCCUGGCCUUGCUCAGUGGGUUAAGGAUCUGGCGUUACUGUGAGCUGUGGUAUAGGUCACAGAUGUGGCUCAGAUCUGGCAUUGUUGUGACUGUGGCAUAGGCUGGCAGCUGUAGCUCUGAUUCGACCCCUAGCCUGGGAACCUCCACAUGCCAUGGGUGCAGCAC
rnacentral:lncRNA from 1 species